AUAUCCAGGGAAUGUCCCAAAGUAUGAUGCCGUUUUUUCGCAGAUGGUUUGACCACAGAAGAACGACACCAGCAGAUGUCAAUCAGAGCAGAUCUGCUGUUUGACUCACAGACAGCACAUGAACAGCUGAUGUGACUUCUGAGUUCAGGUUGUGUUUCUUUAGCUUUUGCGAGAGACAGCAAUUUU